rnacentral:lncRNA from 1 species
CAAACAAGUGUAUAUACACUGUCUACACAUGUAUCUUAAUAAUUCACAUUAGGUUUGUCUAUACACAACAAAAGGAGACUCGAUGUCCAGCAAAGAGACUCGGACAAAUGUACAGCUACUGAAUGUCGAGACACCUACCAAAAGAUGGAUACAAGCCCACGAGGACACCUCGUCCUAGUUACCGGCUGUCUCUUAAUCUGAAAACAUAAAGUUGAAAGCGGUGAGCAUAAACUCAGUGAGUGAACAAGAAGGGAACAAGCAUACCAUAAGGAAUGUUUAUCGAAAUCAUGAUGCACUUAUUUCUCAAAACAAUGCAUUUUGUUCUAGUUCUUAGUAGAACCCCUCAUGUAAACCCCUCAUGAGUAAAUCACUUAAAAGAUCCAUACUCAACUAUGGUACCAAAGAAUCGAAAAAUAUAGCAAAACCCACAAGUUAGCCAAAAUGGACAGAAAGUUUCUCGCUGCAACGAACUUCAUUCUCGCUGCAAAGAGAACCAGGUCUUGUGAAGGCCCUCAAACAUGAGAGUUUCUCGCUACAGCGAGAGUCAGAACAUCAAGGAAAAAGUCUCAUUUUCCUUUAAAACAAGUCAUCCUGCUAAAAUAACAAUAGCAAGAUGUAACACAUGUAAACUCCCCAAAUUUCAACAAAUCAAAUGCUCACAUAUUUGCAUUUACAACCAUAUACCAUAUAAGUAUAUAUAUAUAUAUCAAUCAUCAUAUACACUCUCCCAUCAUCAUCAUCUUAUAUGCAACGGCUUAUGCAUACUCCCACCCGCAUAUAGUCGGGUCAGCAAUGACUUAUGUGCACUCCCACUCGCACAUAGUCGGGUCAGCAACUGCUUAUGUGCACUCUUACUCGCACAUAGCCGGGUCAGCAACGGCUUAUGUGCACUCCUAUUCGCACAUAGCCGGGCCAGCAAUGACUUAUGUACACUCCUACUCACACAUAGUCGGGUCCACAUCAACAUGCAAAGAAGCAUCCAAUGCAUAUCCUACAUUUUAUCAUAUUGUGAUAACACAUAAACCAUUGUAUAGCAUAUUUUCACAAUAUAAAAUCAUUUUACUAAAAGCUUGUUCCCAAGGUACACUUUCUAAGACAAGUUGGAUAGAAUCUUUCAUAUUCCCUAAAACAAGUUUGAAAUGAAAGUCCACUCACCGGAAUUCGUUGAGCCUUUAGCCGACUCUUAAUUCCCCUAAUGAUCCAAUUGGGGUGAUGGAGCUUCGUUAGCACCUACCAUCAAAUUAACAUUUCCAUAAUGUCAAUUUACAUAUUAUAAACCCUAAAAGCUAUGUUUUAGCUAGCUUUCAAUUACCAUUUAAAUGGCCAUCCAUUUUCACUUUCCUAUCACUCUAAAGUGAAUUAACAAUCUCAACUACCAAAUAUUCACAAAUCAAAUCUCUAGUCAUUCUCAACACUUAAAACCCAAUACUAGUUUGCUACUCACCUUGAUAGCUUUGUAACUUUGAACUUCUUUCCAAAAGCUCUCAAGCUAUUAAUAAAGCUUCCUCUUUCUCUCUCUAAAAUACCUAACUAGUGAGAGAUUAUGGAAAUAAGAUUUUCAUCAUUUUCAAGGGUUUUAAAGUGAGAGAGUGGAAGAAUACAAGGGUUCUAGUCAAAAAGGCACCAAGGUAUGAAAAUUAGAACUAGAGAGAGAAAGUUAUGAAAGCUUCACAUCAAGCUUCCAUGGAAGAAUUGAAGAAAUGUGAGAGGGAAGAGAACAAGAAGAAGAAGCUGCUAGAAAUCCCAAGAAAUUGCCAGAAGGAGAGUAUAUUUAUGGCCCAAGCUUAUCCACUCCCUUAGAAAUUACUAAAAUGCCCCUCCACAAAUUAGCUUAAUCCUUGAAAUCCCACACUUUUUCUUCAAUUUUACCACCUAGGGUUUGUGUUCUUUCCUUUCCUUUUCACUUCAUGCUUUGGCCAGCCAUAUGGGGGAGACUAAGAGAGUUUUAAAUAGAUUUUACAAGGAAAUUCUAGAAUAAUCCAAGCUUGACACAUGGCAUGUUUCCAUUGGUCCAUGUGUAAUACUUAUCCAUUAAGCAAUCUCUCUUCACCACAUAAAAUGUUUCAAUCAUCCACAAUGUAAAAUGUUAAUGGCUAAAAUCCAUGGGCAUGACAAGUGUCAGGUGGUGUAAAAUUCCAAAAAUUCCCAUUUUGUCCUUGGGUGAUAAAAUUACUAUUUUGCCUCUAGAACAUGAAAAUCAUCAAAAUUUUUAUUUCCUUGUCAUUUAACCCAUAUUUUCAUCAUUCAUUUAUGGUUUAUGCCUACUUAAGCCAUAAUAUUGUUUAAAACUUACUUUUAUGGGCUUAUUGAGAAACUGACGAAAUUACCCCUAAUUAGGGAUAUCACGUAUAUUUCUAUCUACGAGUCUAUAAAGGUUAAGGUCUCACAUUCUCCCCCACUUAAAGAAAUUCGGUCCUCGAAUUUAAAUUCAACUAUAAGGUCACUUACCUCUAUGCAACAAGAAGGUGGGGAUACUUUGUCCGCAUAUCCUCCUCGGCCUCCCAUGUUACCUCUUCACUCCAUCUGUGCCUUUGGUAAACAUUUUUCCUUUUCUUCCCUGAGGACCCUCUGAGGCCUUAGCUACAAACUCAUCUUUACUUUGUGUUUCUUUAAUCCUGUCUAUUAAAAUAGGCCUCACUCUAAAAUAUGCUAGCAAUGCAUUUAUCUCAGCAACUUCCCAAUGCACACCUAUGUCUCCCAAGCUAUGGAUCUCCCUAACCAAGGAUCUUCUAUCUGUAGCAAUAUGUGCCAGACUCCCCAUGGUGAGACGCUAGGUCGGAUAAAGCCUUUAUCCAAUAAAUCUUCUAACUGAUCCUUACGCUCUUUAAGCUCUGCAGGUGCCAUUCUAUAUGGGGGUAUGGAUAUAAGUCUAGUGUCGGAAAUCAAAUCUAUGCAAAAUUCAAUCUCUCACUCGAAAGGUAAACUUGGUAGUUCCUCAGGAAAUACAUCCAUGAACUCAUUCACCAUUGACACUUGACUUACAUUUCCAACCUUCGCUUGAGUAUCCCUUACCACUGCCAAGUAACCUAUACAACCCUGUCGUAAUAACCUUCGGGUAGACAAGACCGAUAUCAAAUUGGUUCGAACAUUACUUUAUCCCUUUGAAUACUAAAUGAUGGUUCACCAAGGAAAUCAAAUCUAACCAAUUUAUGAUAGCAGUCCACACUGGCAUGGCAGGGUGAUAACCAAUUCAUCCCUAAAAUCACAUCAAAGUCUGAGAUGUCUAACACCACUAGAUUCAUCAAAGUAUCUUUAUCCCGCUGCAAUACUAGCACUAGGCGAGUCAUUCCCCUGCUGGGGUAAUCGUGAAUCCCUUUGUGGACCUUGACGGCUAGAAGACGAGCCACCACUGCUGAAAUCUCUAAGGCCUUGAUAACCUUCUGUUUUGGCCCUUUUUGCUCCAUCCCUCGCAACCCUACUCUCACUGGUCCUCAUUUCAAUCCGCUGAGCACAAUCUACCGCUGCGGAGUAGGUUGUAAAAUCUCAAGAUGCCACAGCCCUAAACAGUGGCUCUACUAGCCUAUCCACAAACCUCUAAAUCUUCAUCUCCUCAGUGGAAACUAGGUAGGGAGCAUACCGAGACAAUUGCGUGAACUUGAUGUCGUACUCCGACACCAUCAUACUCAAGGUCUGUACCAGAGUCACCAACUCCCUAGCUCGUGCAUUACGUACACUGAGUGGUAAGAAUCAGUCUAAAAAGGCUGCACUAAACUUACCCCAAUCAGUGGUGCUGCAUUCGUCAGUUUACCUCUACAUAGAGAACUAUACCAUUCCUGCGCCACAUCCUCUAAUCGGAAGGCGGCUAGCUCAACUGAUCGGACACUAGAGUAUCCCAAAGCCUUACAUAUUUUCUCCAUAUUAUCUAAAAAGAUUUAGGGCUUCUCUGACGCAUCUGACCCUGAAAAUGAUGGAGGCUUAAUCUUAAGAAAAUUAGGAAGAGAAAUCUCUAAAUGACCUCUCUCAACCUCAUGAUAUUGGCGGUCGACCUGUCCUUGGGAGCUAGGGGAUUCUUGCACUGUAGGUCCCCCCUCUACUACCCUCUGUAUAUCCUCUAUACGGGUCGCCAUCAUCUCUACAACCUGAUUAACUCCCUAUAGGCCUGCCGCCAAAUCCUCAAUGGUAAUACCCCUAGCUAGGUGUUUAUCUACAUCACUUGAAGACUGUCCCUCCUCUCGCCUACUCACAAGCAUAUCCACCCUCACUGGCCUACUGGCCCUACCAUGUCUACCUAGGCCCCAUAGGGUGGAUGCCCAUGGCCUAUCUGCCAUCUCAGUAGCAGAAUCUUGCUCCCCCAUCCGUCUUGAGGUGGCUCUUCUCUUAGGCGGCAUUCUUAUCAAGACAAGAGCAAACACCUGUUACUAAACACAUUUUAUAAUCAUACUCAAGGCAAAAAUAAGUUUCUAAGAUAGGGAAUCUGUGCGGUCCCUUGGUCUUAAAAUGUGCCGCAGUUCACACUUCACAACAGAAGUUCCCACAUAAAAACCCGACACUCUGUUGGACCAACAAAUGGAAGUCCUAGGACCUAGACAAACCUAGAGGUCUGAUACCAACAUUGUCACGACCCAAAUUCUGGGUCAUGACCGGCGCAUGGGCUCAAUGGACCUAGUCCACUAAGCCCAAGAAAGCCUAUUAAUCUGAGAUGUUCAUCAUUCCAUCAUAAACUACUAAGUCAUAUAUCAUAACUUAUAAUCAAAAUAAUAUUAAGCAUUGCCACUUCAUACUGGCAUACCAAACAAGUGUAUAUACACUGUCUACACAUGUAUCUUAAUAAUUCACAUUAGGUUCGUCUAUACACAACAAAAGGAGACUUGAUGUCCAGUGGAGAGACUUGAACGAAUGUAUAGCUACUGAAUGCCGAGACACCUACCAAAAGAUGGAUACAAGCCCACGAGGACACCUCGUCCUAGUUACCGACUAUCUCUUAAUCUGAAAACAUGAAGUUGAAAGCGGUGAGCAUAAACUCAGUGAGCGAACAAGAAGGGAACAAGCAUACCAUAAGGAAUGUUUAUCGAAAUCAUGAUGCACUCAUUUUCUCAGAACAAUGCAAUUUGUUCUAAUUCUUAGUAGAACCCCUCAUGUAAACCCCUAAUGAGUAAAUCACUUAAAAGAUCCAUACUUAACUAUGGUACCAAAGAAUCGAAAAAUAUAGCAAAACGCACAAGUUAGCCAAAAUGGACAGAAAGUUUCUCGCUGCAGCGAACUUCAUUCUCGCUACAGCGAGAAUCAGGUUUGGUGAAGGCCCUCAAACCCGAGAGUUUCUUGCUGCAGCAAGAAUGAAUCUCGCUGCAGCGAAAGUCAGAACAUCGAGGAAAAAGUCUCAUUUUCUUUUAAAACAAGCCAUCCUGCUAAAAUAACAAUAGCAACAUGUAACACAUGUAAACUCUCCAAAUUUCAACAAAUCAAAUGCUCACAUAUUUGCGUUUACAACUAUACCAUAUAUGUAUAUAUAUAUAUCAAUCAUCAUAUACACCCUCCCAUCAUCAUCAUCUCAUAUGCAAUGGCUUAUGCGUACUCCCACUCGCAUAUAGCCGGGUCAGCAACGACUUAUGUGCACUCCCACUCGCACAUAGUUGGGUCAGUAACGGCUUAUGUGCACUCACACUCACACAUAGCUGGGUCAGCAACGGUGUGAGACCUUGUCAAGCUCGAUUAAAAGACGGUAUGUACCGAGUGGUACAAUUAAGUUAAAUCGAGCCUUGAACUACUUCAAAUAGAAAUUCUAAGAGGAAAUUGAAAAUUUGGAAACCCACAGAAUGACUUAGAAUAGUGAUUCGGAGUUCAAAGUCCAGUUUGGAGUCCAUCAGGAAAAUUGACCGAUUAGGGACAAAACGGUCAUUUUCCCAUUUGAUGAUAAAAUGGAGAUUUCUAGCCAAGAUUUGAUCACAUUUGACCAAGAAUAAUUAUAUGAAAUAUAAUUAUGAUUAUUGGAGUAUAAAAUGAUGUUUAGUAGUGAAAAAUUGUGAUUCUCGAUAUUUUUGGAGCACAAGGGCAAAAUGAUAAUUUUACCACUAGAGGACUAAACAAGAAUUUUUAUAAAAUGAUUUUUGCCUCAUUUGCUUAAUAUUGAUCAAUAUUAGUGUUAUUUGAGGUUGAAAAGUAGAAAUAAUGUGAUUNNNNNNNNNNNNNNNNNNNNNNNNNNNNNNNNNNNNNNNNNNNNNNNNNNNNNNNNNNNNNNNNNNNNNNNNNNNNNNNNNNNNNNNNNNNNNNNNNNNNNNNNNNNNNNNNNNNNNNNNNNNNNNNNNNNNNNNNNNNNNNNNNNNNNNNNNNNNNNNNNNNNNNNNNNNNNNNNNNNNNNNNNNNNNNNNNNNNNNNNNNNNNNNNNNNNNNNNNNNNNNNNNNNNNNNNNNNNNNNNNNNNNNNNNNNNNNNNNNNNNNNNNNNNNNNNNNNNNNNNNNNNNNNNNNNNNNNNNNNNNNNNNNNNNNNNNNNNNNNNNNNNNNNNNNNNNNAAAUUCAAAGAAAAAGUGAAGAAAUCAAGGAAACAAGCUAGGUAAGUUAAAAUUUCUUUAAUUCUCCUUGAUACCUAGCUUACCCAUGCUUUUGUUCUUGAUUUCCAUGGUUGAAUAUUGAGUUAUCAUGAUGAAUUCAAUUCUGAAAAAUGGGUAUGGAAGAGGAAUUGUUGUUGGAACAAUUUGAUUUUGUACUAUAUUAGUGUUUAGGGAUAGUUAAGCAUGGUUAUGAAUAAAAACACAAAAGAAAUAUUCAAUUUCUCUAGGGUUCCUUGUUGGUCGAACCAUGAGGGCUGAAUAUCAAUGGGGGAUUGUUUUUAUUUCAAGGAAAAUUCCUUGGAAAAUGAUGAAUUAAGGUGAAACAGUUAUGUAGAAAAAAUUUCGGUGCUAGUGCACCAAAUGAUCAAAUUUUUCUAUAAGGAACUGUGAGGGUUCUAAUGCUGAAUUUGGCUUUAUUUAAAUGGUAUGUGGUAAAUUAAGGUAUUAGAGGAGAAAUGGAUUAAUUUAGAGGUGAUUUGGACACAAUCUCCAAUUAAUCGAUGAUCGGUUAAAUUUAAUCGAUACCGCGAUUAAGCGGUAAUCGGUCGUAUUUUUGCAUUUACAUGUCAAGCAUUAGUAAUUUAAAUUAGUUUAUAUCAAUUUAGGGACAAUAUAGUAAAUUCCUUGACUUUGUUAUUUGUCAAGAUAGUGAGACGUCCAGAAAAGGCAAAGGAAUUGCGCUUGGGGACUAUUGUCCGAGUGCACCCAGAAUCCGAAUUUUCGAUACCGGUGAGUGGACUUGCAUUUCAAACUUGUUUUGGGGAAUAUGAAAGAUUCUAUCCAACUUGUCUUAGAAAAUGUACCUUGGGAACAAGCUUUUGUUAAAUGGUUUGAUGUUGUGAUAUGUGAUUGCUAUGGAUUCAUGUAUUAUUGCAAUAUGAUGAUAUAUAUAUGUGUGUUGUGCAUGAUGAAUGAUAUUGUGUAUAAUGAUUGUAACCGUGUGUGUGCACGAUGUGGGAAGAAUUAAGUUGGUAUAAGAGCAAAGGAUUUUACCCAAUCCCUGGGAACUCUAACGCAUGAACAGGGGCGAAGCAUGGCUCUCCGCCCAGGGGCUUAUAGAGGAAAGGGCUACCCAAAGAGGUGGAGCCGCCCUAUGAGUGCUUGAUAGGUACCAUUUGUCGCCUCUGUAGUGAAAAGGUUGAGUGGUAUGUCCCUCCGUAGUGACAAACUUGGUAUCAGAGCCCCAUUUUAUGGUGGAGUGAGAGGUGGAUGAUGAUAGUGCCCGUGUGCACGAUGUGGGAGGAUGUACAAGAUGACACUGAUUGUGCACGAUGUGGGGGGAUGCACAUGAGGGUGCCGGCUAUGUGCAAGAUGUGGGGGGAUGUACAUGAGCUGGGUGUGAUUACGAUGAUAUUGAUGUUUGUCUAUCAAAUUAUGCAUAUCUAGACUUAUGAAUUGAAAGCUCAUGAAUGUGAUAUAUGGUUGACAUAUAUGUGAAAUUUGAUACAUUGCACUUUGGGAAUUUUCAUGAGUUUUAUGUUGAUUUUGUUGGUUUAGUACGAUGUCCCUUUUGUUGAAUGAAGGGAAACUUUUCUCUUGUUGCUCUGUUUCGCUGCAGCGAAAUUCAUUCUCGCUGCAGCGAGAAACUCUCGGGUUUGAAGGCCUUCACCAGAACUGGUUCUCGCUACAGCGAGAAACUUUCUGUUCAUUUUGCAACUUGUGGGUUUUUGCCAUAUUUCCCAUUUCUUUGGUACCAUAGCUGAGCAUGGAUUCUUGUAAAGUGAUUUACUCAUGUGAGGUUUACAUGAGGGGUUUAAAGGAGCUAAAACAAUUGCAUGGUUUUGAGAAAAUGAAUGCAUCAUGACUUCGAUAAACAUUCCUUAUGGUAUGCUUGUUCCCUUCAUGUUCACUCACUAAGUAUUGUACUCACGUUUUAUAAAAAUUCAUGUUUUCAGAUCAGGUGACUGUUUGACCCUCGAUCGAGGAGACCCCGUAGUGCAUCUCUUGAGUAUGUGUCUAGCAUUCGAUAGUAAUCCCUUUUAUUGUAAAUGUCUCCACUGGAAGUCAUGGGUCCUUUUGUAUUGUGAAUACAAUCUAACAAUGUGAAUAUGUGUAUGCAAUGUACAUUGCUAAAUACAUGACUGGUAUAGUGCAUGUAUAUUAUUAUCGAUAAUGACAUUAUGUUUUGGCUAUAUUCACACCCGGGAAAAGGUGUGUGUGUGUAUACAUGAUAUGAUAAAUUUGUUAAGUAAAGGUAAAUGGAUAGGCUUGCUUGGGCUUAGUGAGCUAUGCUCAUUGAGCUCAUGCGCCGGUCAUGGCCAGGGAAAUUGGGUCAUGACAAAUGGCUUAUGUGCACUCCCACUCGCACAUAGUCGGGUCAGCAACGGCUUAUGUACACUCCUACUCACACAUAGCCGGGUCCACAUCAACAUGCAAAGAAGCAUCCAAUGCAUAUUAUGCAUUUUAUCAUAUUGUGAUAACACAUAAACCAUUGUAUAGCACAUUUUCACAAUAUAAAAUCAUUUUACUAAAAGCUAGUUCCCAAGGUACAUUUUCUAAGACAAGUUGGAUAGAAUCUUUCAUAUUCCCCAAAACAAGUUUGAAAUGCAAGUCCACUCACCGGUAUUCGUUGAGCCUUUAGCCGACUCUUAAUUCCCCUAAUGAUCCAAUUGGGGUGAUGGGGCUUCGUUAGCACCUACCAUCAAAUUAACAUUUCCAUAAUGUCAAUUUACAUACUAUAAACCCUAAAAGCUAUGUUUUAGCUAGCUUUCAAUUGCCAUUUAAAUGGCCAUCCAUUUUCACUUUCCUAUCACUCCAAAGUGAAUUAACAAUCUCAACUACAAAAUAUUCACAAAUCAAAUCUCUAGUCAUUCUCAACACUUAAAACCCAAUACUAGUUUGCUACUCACCUUGAUAGCUUUGUAACUUUGAACUUCUUUCCAAAAGCUCUCAAGCUAUUAAUAAAGCUUCCUCUUUCUCUCCCUAAAACACCUAACUAGUGAGAGAUUA